AAGUCGUAACAAGGUUUCCGUAGGUGAACCUGCGGAAGGAUCAUUAACACGUAUCCACGUAUCAACCCCUUUGUGCUUUUUCGUUUAUAUAACCCUGUCUUGAACUGCCGAUCCUGAGGCGUCACCGAAUGAAUGGUUUUGGGCGCAAGCUCAAAAUUUGGUGUCGCUGUUGCACUUCGGUGCAUCGGGUUGGUGGUUCUACCGUACAGGUUACAAAUGUUAACCAUUCGGCAUUGCCCCAUUAAUACUAACCCCUUUAAAAAUCUUGCUAACUUAAUUUGAUUUUUGUUUUUGUCUUCGGACGAAACGAAUUCAAUAUUACAAAAUGCUUGACAACUCUUAGCAACGGAUAUCUUGGUUCUC
rnacentral:misc_RNA from 1 species